GUUGCCCUUCGUCUCUUCCUUGGUGAUCAUUCUACAGCCAAGCAGGAAGUACAAGCACGGAGAUGAGAAAUGGUGUCCCUGAGGCCCUUGACGUUGUCUCAACCCUGCUACCUUGUGCGGCCUAAAUGUUCCCCACCUACCUCCGAGGAAGUCCUGUCAGCUCCGUCAUCUGCUGGGACCUCUUGCAGUCCGAAGCAUCACACCAUUCAGAGAUGAGAAAUGGUGUCCCUGAGGCCCUUGGCGUUGUCUCAACCAUACUACCCUCUGCGGCCUAAAAGUUCCCCCACCUACCUCCGAGGAAGUCCUGUCAGCUCCGUCAUCUGCCGUGACCUCUUGCAGUCCCAAGCAUCACAACAUUCAGG